rnacentral:snoRNA from 1 species
AACCCAUUGUGAAGGCACCUUCUUAAUAAAUCCUUGUAUCUCUCCCAUGCAUCGUAAAGUGUUUCUAAAUCCAUUUGCACAAAAGAAGAGAUAUCAUUCCUCAAUUU